AGCAGAGUAGAGCAGCAGUCCGACUCCGCAGCAGCAGCAGCGUUCUUUCAACACUGAUUUGUCCAGAUCACAGUUGUUUCAAACACUGUUGGAAAGUGUGCUUCUUUGCCACGUUGGCAUGGUGGCAGAUAUAGGGGGCACAAAUGUAGAUGAUGCAACGAGGCGAAUGAUGAAAUACAUUCUGUCAAACGAGCUGGCAUUGGACUAUAACAUGUUUGGCCGUCACGGGAAAAAGAAGUUUAAGGACUUGUGUCUUUUCAACGUUGUGUAUGAGGCUCUUAAGAAGAAUUCGUUGGUGAACCAGCAGGAGGCAGAGAGGGCACUGUCGAAAUGGCUCAUUGGGGCAAGAGACAGAGGAGGACGAAGGGCAUCCAGACAGCCAGUGCCAAAUUAAAAAGUACUGAGCAGUGGUGGAAUAUGAGUGAGUGCAGAAAAUUUGUAUUCAGGUACAAGUACAGUUAGACUGUUAAAAUAUUUUCAGUUACAGACAAAACGUUGACACACUGUUACAUUGUUUUUCUGGAACAAUUAUUUUCAUUACCAAUGAAUCUGUUGAUCAUUUUGUCUGUUAUCAGAAAAAUAUUCGUAAAUAAAAAGUUGAAAUCA